rnacentral:rRNA from 1 species
UACGUAGGGUCCGAGCGUUAAUCGGAAUUACUGGGCGUAAAGCGUGCGCAGGCGGUUGUGCAAGACAGAUGUGAAAUCCCCGGGCUUAACCUGGGAAUUGCAUUUGUGACUGCACGGCUAGAGUGUGUCAGAGGGGGGUAGAAUUCCACGUGUAGCAGUGAAAUGCGUAGAUAUGUGGAGGAAUACCGAUGGCGAAGGCAGCCCCCUGGGAUAACACUGACGCUCAUGCACGAAAGCGUGGGGAGCAAACAGG